GCAGCUCAGUCGGCAGAGCACGAGACUCUUAAUCCCAAGGCUGUGGGUUUGAGCACCAAGUUGGGCA